AACAAACGCUGGCGGCGUGCCUAAUACAUGCAAGUCGAACGGGGAAAGCUUUCGGGUGAGUACUAGUGGCGCACGGGUGAGUAACGCGUGGAUAAUCUGCCUUAGAGUGGGGGAUAACUAGUCGAAAGAUUAGCGAAUGCCGCAUAAGACCACAAGAACUGCGGUUCAAGAGGUCAAAGGUUUUUCGCUCUAAGAUGAGUCCGCGUAAGAUUAGCUAGUUGGUGAGGUAACGGCUCACCAAGGCAACGAUCUUUAACUGGUCUGAGAGGAUGAUCAGUCACACUGGAACUGAGACACGGUCCAGGCUCCUACGGGAGGCAGCAGUAGGGAAUAUUGCACAAUGGAGGAAACUCUGAUGCAGCGACGCCGCGUGAGUGAUGAAGGCCUUCGGGUCGUAAAGCUCUGUCGCAGGGGAAUAACACAAUGAAUGUACCCUGUAAGAAAGGAUCGGCUAACUUCGUGCCAGCCGCCGCCGUAACAC
rnacentral:rRNA from 1 species